GUUACUCAAAGUGGACCGGCUUCUUUGCACACUUGCAAGGAUGUUUUUACUGCGAUUCACAGCACAUUAAAUUCUGUGUUUCCAUUGGUGUUUCCAUACGCUCUUCAUAUCCCCUCUUUUGCAAGUUUGUGGGGGUUUAAUAUGGCCUUAAAGGUGAAAUCUCCACAGGGUGACUAUCAACUACCGACUGCUUUAAACAAUGUCACUCCAGCGGGAGUAGACAAUGUCAUUUCCAAACGACUUGAAAAAGAUUUGUUAAGAUUUUAUGAUGGCAUCUCCCAUUGUAACAUGUUUUUCUUGCCAAAAUACAUUCGAGAAAGUUUGAAAGAAGAAAAAAGAGUCAUCUGUGAGAAGUCUCCAAUUUUUGUUUCGCACAUUAGCUCAAAGAAGCUAAAAAAA